rnacentral:misc_RNA from 1 species
AGUGUCUAGUUUUUAUUUUCCGGCGUUCUUGAUGAUCAUUCGUCAAGGCGCUUUUUUUGU